rnacentral:rRNA from 1 species
CUACGGAGGGUGCAAGCGUUACGCGGAAUCACUGGGCGUAAAGCGCGCGCAGGCGGCCAUUUAAGUUGGAUGUGAAAGCCUACGGCUCAACCGUAGAACUGCAUCCAAAACUAUUUGGCUAGAGUGUGGGAGAGGAAGAUGGAAUUAGUUGUGUAGGGGUAAAAUCCGUAGAGAUAACUAGGAAUACCAAAAGCGAAGGCAAUCUUCUGGAACACUACUGACGCUGAGGCGCGAAAGCGUGGGGAGCAAACAGGAUUAGAAACCCUAGUAGUCC